GAGAUUAAUUUUAAAAGGUUUCAGUACUUCAUAGGUGUCUUAUGACAUUAAUAAUUGUUAUACAUUCACAUUCCCAAGAUUAUUCAAGUAGCCUUAGCUACAUCGCUUCAUUGUCAUCAUAUAUAACCUCCUUCCUUCCAAUGGCCUCAGUUCUUACUUUCAUAAAAUAACAAUAUUAAUUUUGGAAUCCAUUAUACCAAAAUUAAUUGGGUAAUGACCUUUUAAUGUACCACAAGAAGAAUGCCAAAAGGCUCUGAUGCUAAUUGAAGACUGAUCAACUAAUUCAAGCCAGGUUUCUAUGGUUU
rnacentral:misc_RNA from 1 species